GACGAUUUUGUGAAAAAUCGCAUUUUGAGAAAACACGCCUUAGCAGUAGUUGAAAUAUUGUUAUCAAGAUGUGUAAAUUAUGUGGAAUUAACUGAAUAUGCUGAAUAUAUAGAAAAACAAGAUUUUAUAGAUCUAAUUGUUGAAAGAUCACUAAAUAAUUUAUGUGGAAAUCCAAUGUGUGGCAAUCCAAAAGUAUAUAAAUUUAAAUCAAAAUACAGCAUUGAUAUGCCUAAACAAAAAAUAUAUGAUAAUUCAGAAAUUAGCAAAUUUUGUAGACUAGAUUGCCUUCAAAAAGCUUAUUCAUUUUGUGAAAUAUCCAUACCCGACACACCUCUCUGGACUCGAUCAAAAUGUUUAGAAUAUCUGGAAGAUUUAAAUAGUGCUAAGCAAAUUUAAUAGACAUUUGUGUAUCAAAUUUUGAAUUGAGAGUAUUUUUAUUCUAUGUAUUUCCACUUAGAUAUAUCAUGACAAUCUGUUAUUCCAUCACAAAAUACAUUAUAAGUUGUGUUUGACUCAAAUCCCAUGAUCUCUCUCUCCUCUUGAAUUCGAAAUGUAAAAGUAGAGUCUUUUGUUCCUAUGAAAUACCUGAAAUAUAAACUAAUUAGAUUUACUUAUAUAAAAUAAAUUUCAAACCUAGAUAAACUGCAUAUAAUCUGAUCCACAAUUGCCAAUUCUCCAGGUGUCAUAUUAUUUCUGAAUAUUAAAAUUCUUUUAUUGUGAUUAUUCAUAAUUUUAGUUAUAUCUUCAAUUUCUAAAUAAAUGUUAAUAAAUUUUAUAUGUUACUUAUAAAAUGAAAUGUUUUACAUUAUUAUAUAUGCAAACUAAUGAUGUUAUCAUAGCC